CAGUUCGGACGAUCCGGGCGGUUGGGCCGGUCGGGACGGUUCGGUCGGUUGGGUCGAUCCGGUCGGUUCAAAUCCGGGCGAUCAGGCC
rnacentral:tRNA from 1 species